rnacentral:rRNA from 1 species
AUUGAACGCUGGCGGCAUGCCUUACACAUGCAAGUCGAACGGUAACAGGUCUUCGGAUGCUGACGAGUGGCGAACGGGUGAGUAAUACAUCGGAACGUGCCCGAUCGUGGGGGAUAACGGAGCGAAAGCUUUGCUAAUACCGCAUACGAUCUACGGAUGAAAGCAGGGGACCGCAAGGCCUUGCGCGGACGGAGCGGCCGAUGGCAGAUUAGGUAGUUGGUGGGAUAAAAGCUUACCAAGCCGACGAUCUGUAGCUGGUCUGAGAGGACGACCAGCCACACUGGGACUGAGACACGGCCCAGACUCCUACGGGAGGCAGCAGUGGGGAAUUUUGGACAAGGGGCGAAAGCCUGAUCCAGCCAUGCCGCGUGCAGGAUGAAGGCCUUCGGGUUGUAAACUGCUUUUGUACGGAACGAAAAGACUCCUUCUAAUAACGGGGGUCCAUGACGGUACCGUAAGAAUAAGCACCGGCUAACUACGUGCCAGCCGCCGCAGUAAUAC